CCUACGGGCGGCAGCAGUGGGGAAUAUUGCACAAUGGGCGCAAGCCUGAUGCAGCCAUGCCGCGUGUGUGAAGAAGGCCUUCGGGUUGUAAAGCACUUUCAGCGGGGAGGAAGGCGGUGAGGUUAAUAACCUCAUCGAUUGACGUUACCCGCAGAAGAAGCACCGGCUAACUCCGUGCCAGCAGCCGCGGUAAUACGGAGGGUGCAAGCGUUAAUCGGAAUUACUGGGCGUAAAGCGCACGCAGGCGGUCUGUCAAGUCGGAUGUGAAAUCCCCGGGCUCAACCUGGGAACUGCAUUCGAAACUGGCAGGCUAGAGUCUUGUAGAGGGGGGUAGAAUUCCAGGUGUAGCGGUGAAAUGCGUAGAGAUCUGGAGGAAUACCGGUGGCGAAGGCGGCCCCCUGGACAAAGACUGACGUUCAGGUGCGAAAGCGUGGGGAGCAAACAGGAUUAGAUACCCUUGUAGUC
rnacentral:rRNA from 1 species